ensembl:lncRNA
UUUUUUUUUUUUUUUUAACUGAUUUUGUUCAUCAAUAUACAUGCAUAAAUACUUUUUUUUUUUUUUUUUUUACUGAUUUUGUUCAUCAAUAUACAUAGAUAAAUACUUUUUUUUUUUUUUUUUUUAACUGAUUUUGUUCAUCAAUAUACAUGCAUAAAUACUUUUUUUUUUUUUUUUACUGAUUUUGUUCAUCAAUAUACAUGCAUAAAUACUUUAUUUUUUAUUUUUUUUAAACUGAUUUUGUUUAUCAAUAUACAUGCAAUAAUACUUUUUUUUUAACUGAUUUAAGUGUUACAGGCCAAAAGAGAAAAAGAUUGUAUGAGCAUAUUGAUGAGCCAUUAAGUGUUUGAAGUGUUACAGGCCAAAAUAGAAAAAAAUAGUACUUUUUUUUUUUUUUAACUGAUUUUGUUUAUCAACAUACAUGCCUAAAUACUUUUUUUUUUUAACUGAUUUAAGUGUUACAGGCCAAAAGAGAAAAAGAUUGUAUGAGCCAAUGUAACCUCGACCGGUUAAGCAAAAAGGCAGGAAAGUCAUUGGCUAGCCUUGUUAGGUACUGACUAAGACUGUAGAUGAGCCAUUAAGUGUUUGAAGUGUUACAGGCCAAAAUAGAAAAAAAUUGUACUUUUUUUUUUUUACUGAUUUUGUUCAUCAAUAUACAUGCAUAAAUACUUUUUUUAUUUUUUUUUUUAACUGAUUUUGUUUAUCAAUAUACAUGCAUAAAUACUUUUUUUUUUUUUUUUAACUGAUUUUGUUCAUCAAUAUACAUGCAUAAAUACUUUUUUUUUUUUUUUAACUGAUUUUGUUCAUCAAUAUACAUGCAUAAAUACUUUUUUUUUUUUUUUUUUAACUGAUUUUGUUUAUCAAUAUACAUGCAUAAAUACUUUUUUUUUUUUUUUUUUACUGAUUUUGUUCAUCAAUAUACAUGCAAUAAUACUUUUUUUUUUUUAACUGAUUUAAGUGUUACAGGCCAAAAGAGAAAAAGAUUGUAUGAGCAUAUUGGUAACCUCGACCGGUUAAGCAAAAAAGGCAGGAAAGUCAUUGGCGAGACUUGUUAGGUGCUGACUAAGACUGUAGAUGAGCCAUUAAGUGCUUGAAGUGUUACAGGCCAAAAGAAAAAAAUAAUGUAUGAGCAUAUUGGUAACCUCGACCGGUUAAGCAAAAAAGGCAGGAAAGUCAUUGGCUAGCCUUGUUAGGUGCUGACUAAGACUGUAGAUGAGCCAUUUAGUGUUUGAAGUGUUACAGGCCAAAAGAAAAAAAUAAUGUAUGAGCAUAUUGGUAACCUCGACCGGUUAAGCAAAAAAGGCAGGAAAGUCAUUGGCUAGCCUUGUUAGGUGCUGACUAAGACUGUAGAUGAGCCAUUUAGUGUUUGAAGUGUUACAGGCCAAAAUAGAAAAAAAUAGUAAGAGCAUAUUGGUAACCUCGACCGGUUAAGCAAAAAAGGCAGGAAAGUCAUUGGCUAGCCUUGUUAGGUGCUGACUAAGACUGUAGAUGAGCCAUUAAGUGUUUGAAGUGUUACAGGCCAAAAUAGAAAAGAAUAGUACCUUUUUUUUUUUUAACUGAUUUUGUUUAUCAAUAUACAUACAUAAAUACUUUUUUUUUUUUUUUGUUUUUUACUGAUUUAAGUGUUACAGGCCAAAAGAGAAAAAUAUUGUAUGAGCCAAUGUAACCUCGACCGGUUAAGCAAAAAAGGCAGGAAAGUCAUUGGCUAGCCUUGUUAGGUACUGACUAAGACUCUAGAUGAGCCAUUAAGUGUUUGAAGUGUUACAGGCCAAAAUAGAAAAAAAUAGUACUUUUUUUUUUUUUAACUGAUUUUGUUUAUCAACAUACAUGCCUAAAUACUUUUUUUUUUAACUGAUUUAAGUGUUACAGGCCAAAAGAGAAAAAGAUUGUAUGAGCCAAUGUAACCUCGACCGGUUAAGCAAAAAAGGCAGGAAAGUCAUUGGCUAGCCUUGUUAGGUACUGACUAAGACUGUAGAUGAGCCAUUAAGUGUUCGAAGUGUUACAGGCCAAAAUAGAAAAAAAUAGUACUUUUUUUUUUUAACUGAUUUUGUUUAUCAAUAUACAUGCAUGAAUACUUUUUUGUUAUUUUUUUAACUGAUUUAAGUGGUACAGGCCAAAAGAGAAAAAAUUUGUAUGAGGAUAUUGGUAACCUCGACCGGUUAAGCAAAAAAGGCAGGAAAGUCAUUGGCUAGCCUUGUUAGGUGCUGACUAAGACUCUAGAUGAGCCAUUAAGUGUUUGAAGUGUUACAGGCCAAAAUAGAAAAAAAAAGUACUUUUUUUUUUUUUUUACUGAUUUUGUUUAUCAAUACACAUGCAUAAAUUCUUUUUUUUUUUUUUAACUGAUUUUGUUUAUCAAUAUACAUGCAUUAAUACUUUUUUUUUUUAACUGGCAGGAAAGGCAGGAAAGUCAUUGGCUAGCCUUGUUAGGUGCUGACUAAGACUGUAGAUGAGCCAUUUAGUGUUUGAAGUGUUACAGGCCAAAAUAGAAAAAAAUAGUAAGAGCAUAUUGGUAACCUCGACCGGUUAAGCAAAAAAGGCAGGAAAGUCAUUGGCUAGCCUUGUUAGGUGCUGACUAAGACUCUAGAUGAGCCAUUAAGUGUUUGAAGUGUUACAGGCCAAAAUAGAAAAAAAAAGUACUUUUUUUUUUUUUUACUGAUUUUGUUUAUCAAUAUACAUGCAUAAAUACUUUUUUUUUAACUGAUUUAAGUGUUACAGGCCAAAAGAGAAAAAGAUUGUAUGAGCAUAUUGGUAACCUCGACCGGUUAAGCAAAAAAGGCAGGAAAGUCAUUGGCUAGCCUUGUUAGGUACUGACUAAGACUGUAGAUGAGCCAUUAAGUGUUUGAAGUGUUACAGGCCAAAAUAGAAAAAAAUAGUACUUUUUUUUUUUUUAACUGAUUUUGUUUAUCAAUAUACAUGCAUAAAUACUUUUUUUUUUUUUUUUUACUGAUUUUGUUUAUCAAUAUACAUGCAUAAAUACUUUUUUUUUUUUUUUUUACUGAUUUUGUUUAUCAAUAUACAUGCAUAAAUACUUUUUUUUUUUAACUGAUUUAAGUGUUACAGGCCAAAAGAGAAAAAGAUUGUAUGAGCCAAUGUAACCUCGACCGGUUAAGCAAAAAAGGCAGGAAAGUCAUUGGCUAGCCUUGUUAGGUACUGACUAAGACUGUAUAUGAGCCAUUAAGUGUUUGAAGUGUUACAGGCCAAAAGAGAAAAAGAUUGUAUGAGCAUAUUGGUAACCUCGACCGGUUAAGCAAAAAAGGCAGGAAAGUCAUUGGCUAGCCUUGUUAGGUGCUGACUAAGACUGUAGAUGAAACAUUAAGUGUUUGAAGUGUUACAGGCCAAAAUAGAAAAAAAUAGUACUUUUUUUUUUUUUUUACUGAUUUUGUUUAUCAAUAUACAUGCAUAAAUACUUUUUUUUUUAACUGAUUUAAGUGUUACAGGCCAAAAGAGAAAAAGAUUGUAUGAGCCAAUGUAACCUCGACCGGUUAAGCAAAAAAGGCAGGAAAGUCAUUGGCUAGCCUUGUUAGGUACUGACUAAGACUGUAGAUGAGCCAUUAAGUGUUUGAAGUGUUACAGGCCAACUUUGAUCGGUUAAGCAAAAAAGGCAGGAAAGUCAUUGGCUAGCCUUGUUAGGUGCUGACUAAGACUGUAGAUGAGCCAUUAAGUGUUUGAAGUGUUACAGGCCAAAAUAGAAAAAAAAAGUACUUUUUUUUUUUUUUACUGAUUUUGUUUAUCAAUACACAUGCAUAAAUACUUUUUUUUUUACUGAUUUUGUUUAUCAAUAUACAUGCAUAAAUACUUUUUUUUUUCUUUUUUUAACUGAUUUAAGUGGUACAGGCCAAAAGAGAAAAAAUUUGCAUGAGCAUAUUGGUAACCUCGACCGGUUAAGCAAAAAAGGCAGGAAAGUCAUUGGCUAGCCUUGUUAGGUGCUGACUAAGACUGUAGAUGAGCCAUUAAGUGUUUGAAGUGUUACAGGCCAACUUUGACCGGUUAAGCAAAAAAGGCAGGAAAAUCAUUGGCUAGCCUUGUUAGGUGCUGACUAAGACUGUAGAUGAGCCAUUAAGUGUUUGAAGUGUUACAGGCCAAAAUAGAAAAAAAUAGUACUUUUUUUUUUUUAGCUAAUUUUGUUUAUCAAUAUACAUGCAUAAAUACUUUUUUUUUUUUUACUGAUUUUGUUUAUCAAUAUACAUGCAUAACUACUUUUUUUUUCUUUUUUUAACUGAUUUAAGUAGUACAGGCCAAAAGAGAAAAAAUUUGUAUGAGCAUAUUGGUAACCUCGACCGGUUAAGCAAAAAAGGCAGGAAAGUCAUUGGCUAGCCUUGUUAGGUGCUGACUAAGACUGUAGAUGAGCCAUUAAGUGUUUGAAGUGUUAAAGGCAUAGAAAAAAAUAGUAAGAGCAUAUUGGUAACUUUGACCGGUUAAGCAAAAAAGGCAGGAAAGUCAUUGGCUAGCCUUGUUAGGUGCUGACUAAGACUGUAGAUGAGCCAUUAAGUGUUUGAAGUGUUACAGGCCAAAAUAGAAAAAAACAGUACUUUUUUUUUUUUAACUGAUUUUGUUUAUCAAUAUACAUGCAUAAAUACUUUUUUUUUUUUUUUUUUUUUACUGAUUUUGUGUAUUAAUACACAUGCAUUAAUACUUUUUUUUUAACUGAUUUAGGUGUUACAGGCCAAAAGAGAAAAAGAUUGUAUGAGCCAAUGUAACCUCGACCGGUUAAGCAAAAAAGGCAGGAAAGUCAUUGGCUAGCCUUGUUAGGUGCUGACUAAGACUGUAGAUGAGCCAUUAAGUGUUUGAAGUGUUACAGGCCAAAAUAGAAAAAAAAAGUACUUUUUUUUUUUUUUUACUGAUUUUGUUUAUCAAUACACAUGCAUAAAUACUUUUUUUUUUCUUUUUUUAACUGAUUUAAGUGGUACAGGCCAAAAGAGAAAAAAUUUGUACGAGCAUAUUGGUAACCUCGACCGGUUAAGCAAAAAAGGCAGGAAAGUCAUUGGCUAGCCUUGUUAGGUGCUGACUAAGACUGUAGAUGAGCCAUUAAGUGUUUGAAGUGUUACAGGCCAAAAUAGAAAAAAAUAGUAAGAGCAUAUUGGUAAUUUUGACC